UAAGGGAGGGGGAAUCCCUAACCGUGCGAAGGUAGCGUAAUCACUUGCUCUCUAAAUCAGGACUUGUAUGAACGGCACCACGAGGGUUAUACUGUCUCCUUUUUCCAAUUAGUGAACUUAAUCUUCCCGUGAAGAAGCGGGAAUGACCUUAUAAGACGAGAAGACCCUAUGGAGCUUUAAACAUUUAGCAUCUGCACAUACCUUAAUAUUUCAGAAAUUAUUAGCCCGCAUAAUGACUAGAAGUUUUAGGUUGGGGUGACCACGGAGUAAAACGCAUCCUCCACGAUGAAAGACCUACACUUCUUAACUAAGAAACACAUCUCUAAGUAUCAGCACACUGACAUUUAUUGACCCAAUACACUUGAUCAACGAACCAAGUUACCCUAGGGAUAACAGCGCAAUCCAUUUUAAGAGCUCCUAUCGCCAAAUGGGUUUACGACCUCGAUGUUGGAUCAGGGUAACCCAGCCGCUCUAAAG
rnacentral:rRNA from 1 species